CACAAAAUGACUCUCGGCAACGGAUAUCUCGGCUCUUGCAUCGAUGAAGAACGUAGCGAAAUGCGAUACUUGGUGUGAAUUGCAGAAUCCCGUGAACCAUCGAGUCUUUGAACGCAAGUUGCGCCCGAAGCCAUUAGGCCGAGGGCACGCCUGCCUGGGUGUCACA
rnacentral:rRNA from 33 species